CUGUAGUGUUGUCUAGAGGGGUCUGUCUGUAGUGUUGUCUCGGGGGGUCUGUAGUGUUGUCUCGGGGGGUUGUCUCGGGGGGUCUGUAGUGUUGUCUAGAGGGGUCUGUCUGUAGUGUUGUCUAGAGGGGUCUGUCUGUAGUGUUGUCUCGGGGGGGUCUGUAGUGUUGUCUGCCCCAGGACCGUGAUCCCAGGCCUGUCUGGCUUCCCUCUGAGGAAACACUGCUGUUGGUUGAUAGUGCGACUCAUUACAGAAGUCGUCUUUGAGGACAGUCAUGUCUUGUAUUCAAAAUGAGGAUCAUAAAAGAGGUUUCCCAUGACGCAAUUCAACUGAUAUGCCACACAGAGCCAUGUAAGAAUCAAUGUGGCUCCCUUUAAUGAACAACAUGAGAGAGGCUGAUUGCUGGGUUAAUUAACGAGAGGUGUAGUGAUGUUAAGAUGAGCUGUCUGUCUGAGCUGACCACUCGAGACCCACUGGAUCCUGGCCAGCAGGGGAGAAGACAGGAAGUACACUGUCACCGCCCUCCGAGUCAGCCCUGUAGCCAUAUCAACGCCCUUAGCCAUACAGACACACAUUUAAAAUUCUGAUAUCGCUAACAUCUCCAUGAGCUCAAUCGCCCUCAUUCCCUUCAGGCAGACCUCGGUUCAAAUAGUAUCUGAAAUAUUAUUUGAUUGAGCUGAAAUAAUUCUUGAUUGAGCUUGCCUGGCACAAUAGAAUCAAUAGAAGGAAAAAAACUAAGUGCAAACCCUGCUCACUGUCACUACUGAUGAGCUGUCUGUUCCUGACUACUGAGUGGAUCCAACAGGAAGUUCUCCGUCACCGCCCUCAGUCUGCCCUGUAGCGAUAUCAAUGCCCUGCGGCCUCCAGAAUUCCAGACACACCUCCCUUAAAGCUACAGUCUGGGGUUCGAAAAACAACAACGCAACUGCCCCGCCUCUUAUUUUGGUAUGAGUCUGUGAAAUGGGAUCCAUUUAAUGUAACCCCUCCUAUAGUCACAGAGGCAAUUAUAAGGUCAACCAUCAAUGGUACUCUACCUCUUUUAAAGAACCGCUCAGUCCUCUUUUAAAGAACCGCUCAGUCCUCUUUUAAAGAACCGCUCAGUCCUUCUUUUAAAGAACCGAUCUCAGUCCUUCUUUUAAAGAACCGCUCAGUCCUCUUUUAAAGAACCGCUCAGUCCUCUUUUAAAGAACCGCUCAGUCCUUCUUUUAAAGAACCGAUCAGUCCUUUUAAAUAACCGCUCAGUCCUCUUUUAAAGAACCGCUCAGUCCUCUUUUAAAGAACCGAUCCCAGUCCUCUUUUAAAGAACCGAUCCCAGUCCUCCUGCAAAGAACCGAUCCCAGUCCUCCUGUAAAGAACCGAUCCCAGUCCUCCUGUAAAGAACCGAUCCCAGUCCUCCUGUAAAGAACUGAUCCCAGUCCUCCUGUAAAGAACCGAUCCCAGUCCUCCUGUAAAGAACUGAUCCCAGUCCUCCUGUAAAGAACUGAUCCCAGUCCUCCUGUAAAGAACCGAUCUCAGUCCUCCUCAGUAGUUAUAUCAGUAGUUGCUUGUUUGUAGGUGACCAAAUACUUAUUUUCCACCAUAAUUUGCAAAUAAAUUAAUAAAAAAUCAUGGAAAAUCUUUGGAGGGGGUUGAAAGUCCGUGUUGCCCAGCAACAGCCCCAAAACAUCACUGCUCUAGAGGAGAUCUGCAUGGAGGAAUGGGCCAAAAUACCAGCAACAGUGUGUGGAAGACUUACAGAAAACGUUUGACCUCUGUCAUUGCCAACAAAGGGUAUAUAACAAAGUAUUGAGAUAAACUUUUGUUAUUGACCAAAUACCUAUUUUCCACCAUAAUUUGCAAAUAAAUUCAUUAAAAAUCAUACAAUGUGAUUUUCUGGAUUUUUUUUCUCAUUUUGUCUGUCAUAGUUGAAGUGUACCUAUGAUGAAAAUUACAGGCCUCUCUCAUCUUUUUAAGUGGGAGAACUUGC
ensembl:lncRNA